rnacentral:rRNA from 1 species
UAGCAUAUCAAUAAGCGGAGGAAAGAACCACCGGGAUUGCCUCAGUAACGGCGAGUGAAGCGGCAAAAGCUCAAAUUUGAAAUCUGGCUCCUUCGGGGUCCGAGUUGUAAUUUGCAGAGGAUGCUUCGGGUGUGGCCCCCGUCUAAGUGCCCUGGAACGGGCCGUCAGAGAGGGUGAGAAUCCCGUCUUGGGCGGGGAGUCCAUGCCCGUGUGAAGCUCCUUCGACGAGUCGAGUUGUUUGGGAAUGCAGCUCUAAAUGGGUGGUAAAUUUCAUCUAAAGCUAAAUACUGGCCGGAGACCGAUAGCGCACAAGUAGAGUGAUCGAAAGAUGAAAAGCACUUUGAAAAGAGAGUUAAACAGCACGUGAAAUUGUUGAAAGGGAAGCGCUUGCGACCAGACUCGCUCGCGGGGUUCAGCCGGCAUUCGUGCCGGUGUAUUUCCCCGCGGGCGGGCCAGCGUCGGUUUGGGCGGCCGGUCAAAGGCCCCUGGAAUGUAUCGCCCUCCGGGGUUGUCUUAUAGCCAGGGGUGCAAUGCGGCCAGCCCGGACCGAGGAACGCGCUUCGGCACGGACGCUGGCAUAAUGGUCGUAAACGACCCGUCUUGAAACACGGACCAAGGAGUCUAACAUCUACGCGAGUGUUCGGGUGUCAAACCCGUACGCGCAGUGAAAGCGAACGGAGGUGGGAGCCCUUUCGGGGGCGCACCAUCGACCGAUCCUGAAGUCUUCGGAUGGAUUUGAGUACGAGCGUAAAUGUGGGGACCCGAAAGAUGGUGAACUAUGCCUGAAUAGGGCGAAGCCAGAGGAAACUCUGGUGGAGGCUCGCAGCGGUUCUGACGUGCAAAUCGAUCGUCGAAUUUGGGUAUAGGGGCGAAAGACUAAUCGAACCAUCUGGUAGCUGGUUCCUGCA